GUAUGGUGCAAGCGUUAUCCGGAUUUACUGGGUGUAAAGGGAGCGCAGGCGGCACGCUAAGCCUGAUGUGAAAACCCGCGGCCCAACCGCGGGAGUGCAUUGGGAACUGGCGAGCUGGAGUACCGGAGGGGCAGGCGGAAUUCCUAGUGUAGCGGUGAAAUGCGUAGAUAUUAGGAGGAACACCAGUGGCGAAGGCGGCCUGCUGGACGGAGACUGACGCUGAGGCUCGAAAGCGUGGGGAGCAAA
rnacentral:rRNA from 1 species